rnacentral:misc_RNA from 1 species
GACGCAUAUUGCACUUGAGGGGUCACACCCUCAAGUAUGCCUGUUUGAGUAUUGUAAAUCUUCUAUCCUGCAUGUGUGGGCGCGAGCACGCAGCAAUGUGUGUGGGCGAUCAGACGUGUGCAGGGUGACGGAUGAGGCAUGCCAGCGGCGCCACCAAGCAAACUAAGUCUUACAAUGUGCGCGAGCGUGUGUUGCAAGAAGAAGGAAGCGAUGGGGGUGCUCCGGUGAUGGCCAUGCAAUGCAACGCACGAGCAUCUUCUGGAAAUGACGGCUGUGGCGUGCAGCGGCCAAGGCGCGGCCUACCAUACACACGUAUUGUGACAACAAUACACACACACAUUUAACACAUUCAAUCUCAAAUCAGGCAAGAGUACCCGCUGAACUUAA